rnacentral:rRNA from 1 species
GACGAACGCUGGCGGCGUGCUUAACACAUGCAAGUCGAACGUGAUUUUUGUGGAAAGCCCUUCGGGGACGGAAAUGAAAUGAAAGUGGCGAACGGGUGAGUAACACGUGAGCAACCUACCUUACACAGGGGGAUAGCCGUUGGAAACGACGAUUAAUACCGCAUGAGACCACAAAGCCACAUGGCUUAGGGGUAAAAGAUUUAUCGGUGUAAGAUGGGCUCGCGUCUGAUUAGCUAGUUGGAAGGGUAAAGGCCUACCAAGGCAACGAUCAGUAGCCGGUCUGAGAGGAUGAACGGCCACAUUGGAACUGAGACACGGUCCAAACUCCUACGGGAGGCAGCAGUGGGGAAUAUUGCACAAUGGGGGGAACCCUGAUGCAGCGACGCCGCGUGAGCGAAGAAGGUUUUCGAAUCGUAAAGCUCUGUCCUAUGAGAAGAUAAUGACGGUAUCAUAGGAGGAAGCCCCGGCUAAAUACGUGCCAGCAGCCGCGGUAAUACGUAUGGGGCGAGCGUUGUCCGGAAUUAUUGGGCGUAAAGGGUACGUAGGCGGCCUUUUAAGUCAGGUGUGAAAGCGUGAGGCUUAACCUCAUUAAGCACUUGAAACUGGAAGGCUUGAGUGAAGGAGAGGAAAGUGGAAUUCCUAGUGUAGCGGUGAAAUGCGUAGAUAUUAGGAGGAAUACCGGUGGCGAAGGCGACUUUCUGGACUUUUACUGACGCUCAGGUACGAAAGCGUGGGGAGCAAACAG